GUAGUCUCGCACAGAUGCAUAUCAAUAAGCGGAGGAAAAGAAACUAACAAGGAUUCCCUCAGUAACGGCGAGUGAAGCGGGAAGAGCUCAAAUUUGAAAUCUUGAAAGGUCACCCUUCACGAAUUGUAGUUUAAAGAAGUGUUUUCUGUUACGAUCGUAAUAUAAGUUCUUUGGAAUAGGACAUCACAGAGGGUGAGAAUCCCGUCUAUGAUUGCGAUUUGUAGCUUUGUGUUACACUUUCAAAGAGUCGGGUUGUUUGGGAAUGCAGCCCAAAACGGGAGGUAAAUUUCUUCUAAGGCUAAAUAUUGGCGAGAGACCGAUAGCGAACAAGUACCGUGAGGGAAAGAUGAAAAGAACUUUGAAAAGAGAGUUAAAUAGUACGUGAAAUUGUCAAAAGGGAAGCGUUUAACACCAGUGUUGUUUUCUGAAAAUCAACCUCUGUUAGCUUUAUGCAUGUUUGUUUAGACCUAAUCAGCUAUCUUGCAUGUUCUAUUGUUUGCAGUGGUGCACUUUUCAGUUUACAGGUCAACAUCAGUUUUUUUUACCGUAAAAAAGUUAAAGAAAGGUAGCUCAUGGCUCCGGUCGUGAGUGUUAUAGUCUUUUUCCUAUGCGGUAGGAGAGACUGAGGUCUGCAGUGUAGGCUAUUUGGCUAGAUACUCAGGUGCUAUGUGAUACCAUUUCAUAAACAACUUGUUGAUUAUGUUUUGUCUAUUGCAUACUCGCUUGUACUAUCAUACCUACGCUUAGGAUGUUGAGUCGUAGAGCACGCAG
rnacentral:rRNA from 1 species